UUUCUUCUCCGCUGCCUUGAAAGCCAGAACUCUCCUCUCUCUCAUUCCGAUUCGGACAGAGUAGAGGAUGGCUCCAAUGGCGUGCAAAGGUAAGAUUCUUCUUCGCUUUUCUCUUUUAUUUCAUGUUAUUUAUGAACUGAGUAAAAAAAACAAAGAAAAGUGAAAAAAAUUCAAAAAUGGUACAAAACUUUGUUUUCUUUUUUUGAAUAUUUUUUGUUUUUGUAUUCAAUAUCUCUGUGUGCGGGAG
rnacentral:lncRNA from 1 species